GCCGGGGUGGCGGAACAGGCAGACGCUCGGGACUUAAAAUCCCGUGGCCUUCGGGCCGUGCGGGUUCGAUCCCCGCCCCCGGCACCA
rnacentral:tRNA from 1 species